GAGGGUAUAGCCCAGUGGUAGAGUGCAUGCCUAGCAUGCAUGAGGUCCUGGGUUCAAUCCCCAAUGCCUCCA
rnacentral:tRNA from 1 species